CUGUCUCUAAAUCAUGCAUAUGUGCCUUUCCUUUUUCUUUUAGAUUGUGAAAGGAGAACUUAGUUGAAAGGCAAACAGGAGUAAAAUGUUCCAAGGACCACACUUAACUAAUUCCCCAGCAAAUCAUGUAUUAAGUAUCGCCACUAUGUUAAUAAUACAGUAGGUAUUCGAAUGACCAAAAUUUAGGUCCAAAUUACUUAUAGAAAGACAAUCUUGAGUUAGUAACAUUUUGUUUUACCUUCCAAUAGCAAUAUUUGUCAUUAAAUGCAUCUCAACUUAAGAAACAUGUGAUCCCAAUAUCAAGGUAUUUUACUAUUUUAAGCUUGUCAAUUCCAACUUGUGAAACAAUUAUUAAUUUAGUUAAGUAGAUUGACAUAUGAAUUGAAGAAGCCCACUCUUAGUGAAAUGUUUAUAAGUUACUGGUGAACUCAAACUCAUUCCCAUUCCACAAAUCAAUGCUAUCUAAGAUAACAUGUCUUUAAAAGGCAAAAAUGGACUAACAAGAGGAUAUACUGUUCCGCUACAGUCACUUUGUUUCAGGUUUCCCAGUUCUACACUCCCUAAAAACCGUUACUCUCGGUGCACAAAAGAGUAAGAAAGAAUGUUUCCCUCUAGACCAAGUCAACUGAUGUAUAUUGGUCCUGAAAUGUUGUUAUAUUUCUUUACCAUAAGCACUAUUUAGUCUCAAAGGAGCUGCAUGUUGUACCAGUUUACCUUCCCUUAUCCUGUACCUGGUUGCUAGCAGCUCAUUCAAUGAGAAAGAGUCACUAUAAUUUCCCCCCAAAACUUAAAAAAAUCUCGUGUGAUGCUCAUUUAAUGAGGAGAAUGUUACAAUAGCUUUCCUCCUAAAUUCUGAUCUUCUCCACAGUUUAUGCAAAUUGCAGUAGGAGAUGCUUAUGAGUUCCACCAUAUGCUCCAAACCCACGUCAAGCUUUAGGACAUGGACCUUAUUGGUGUGUGUACCUGCAACAAGUCAUUCCUAUUAUGUUUUUAAAUUUUAUAUACCGAAGAGUCAAAGAAAAUGUAAUAGGUGUACUUUCUAGGGCAAUACAACUUUCCAAAUAAGUGAAGUUAAAGGGAAAGGAUCAAAGGAGUGAAGUUUUUAGUGAAGAACCUUCUUUAACAGACACCUCCUGAGUUUUGGAUCACAUAGUGUUACUAGAGCUAAUGAACUAUAUGAUGAUACAUAACAAAGCUUUGUAAUGCAACUGCUAUUUUCUGUUAGGUUCAGUGCCAAGUCUGUUAAGUUGCUAUCAGGUCAUUUGUCCUUCAUGAUCUCUAAACUGUAUGAUGUUUGAAAGUAACACUGACAAAUCAUUGAUUUUGUUGCUGUCAAAACUAAGUUUUUUCCACAGCAUGGCUUGUUGGUCUUUUCUAUUUCUUAUUGUCUAAGAUUUAUGCCCUAUUGAAUACAAUUUCCUGUCUGAAACCUAUUUAAUGUUGGUAUCCUAGGAUCACCUCAUCAGAUUUCUCUCUUUUUAGAGCUGAUCCCGCGACCGUUUGGUUGGAUGGAUUAGAGAAAUAAUCUCAACAUAAAAUUUAUCAUAUGUUUGAGUUAAAGAGAUUAAAAAAUAUUUUCUGCAUAACUUAUGCAUCAUUUAGUAUGUCGCAUAUGAAAAUAAUGCAUGUAUAAUUUUGUGCAGCGUUUGGUUGAUUGUGUUAAAUGAAAACUGCAUUAAAUUAUGUGGGAAUUUGUACAUUGUUUUAUGUAUGACAGAAUGUGAAAUACGAAUACGUGUAAUGUUUAUCAGGGGGGUUAAAGUAUUUAAAGAUUCUACAUUAGGUAGAAUUUUCAAUUAUGGGAUUAGUAAUCCCGGGAUUGUUCAUACCACAAUUGUAAUAUUAAUUUUACACCAUACUCCAUGUGGGAUAAUCCCGGGGUUGAACUACAAAAUGACACAUUUGCCCUUACCCAAAGCUUUUCUUCCAGAGAUUUUUAAGCAAACCAAGGUUAAAGUUGGAAAUGAAAGUUUAUCCAAAUUAUC